rnacentral:lncRNA from 1 species
GGAAAUAUGUCUGCCGUGGGGACAAAUCAAGCGACAGAGAAAGGUGUAGGGCUCAGACCUGGCCUCGGCAGGCAAGGUAUGUACCGAUGCACCAGUUACUCACUGGGCUGGUCCUCUUAACAUCUUCUGAGAGCCAUGGGAAGCUCUCUCUAGGAAAUGGGGAAGGAAGUCGUAAGAAAGGCCCCUGAGGAUAUCACAUGAAGGAGGAAGCAUGGGCAUUAGAAUGAGGGUAAAAGAUCACAAGUCCUGGAAACUAGUUAUUCAGAGACAGUCCUUGUAACACACCCACACACCCACACCCACACCCACACACACACCCACACACACACAGGGUUGACAGAGUCUGUGGCCCACAGUUUUCUUUGGCUGGCUUCUUCUCUGCCUUUAAGUCUGGCGGAGGAGAUGGGGCUAGGCAUUUAUCGCUGGAUGUUUUAGUCAGUUUCACUUCCUGUUUCUCAUGCUGAAAGCAUAAUAAUCAUCAUAAUGAUAAUAAUAAUUCUAAGGACUUGCCUCUGCCUCCUAUUUAUCUAGGGCCUGUCAGAAGUGUGCACAUAGGUGGGAAAGGGAGACUACAGCUUAUCUACUCCAUCAAUCAACAGCCGGGAGUGGAGGCAGGCAUGGAGGUGAGGGUGGGGGUUAGUAAUUAGCAGCGGAAAUUAUUAAACUCAUUUUUUUUUCUUUUUUUUUUUUUUUUUAAUUUUUUUUUCAACGUUUAUUUAUUUUUGGGACAGAGAGAGACAGAGCAUGAACGGGGGAGGGGCAGAGAGAGAGGGAGACACAGAAUCGGAAACAGGCUCCAGGCUCUGAGCCAUCAGCCCAGAGCCUGACGCGGGGCUCGAACUCACGGACCGCAAGAUCGUGACCUGGCUGAAGUCGGACGCUUAACCGACUGCGCCACCCAGGCGCCCCUCAUUUUUUUUUUUCAAGAGGAGGGAUCUAAAUGGGUUGUUAGCUUCCCAAAUGGUUAUUCUUACCAUAGAGACAUUUAUAAAUCUCUUCUUCCAAGGUCCUCCGGAAAUAAAUCCUCCCCAAAACUUUCCAUUCUCCAAUCUGCCCCAGCUAAGGAAAUCCUUGUGAAUUGAGGCCCAGAGAGUUUAGGCUGACCUCCUAGAGUCACACAGCAAGCAGACCGGCAGGAAAGAUAGGACCAGGCCAGGAUUCUUCUGCAUCCAUUAAGAGUUAUAACCAAGAAGGGAAUUUCCAAGUCUACAGGGAACUUGCAAAGUUUUUAGGAAAAACCACAACUAUUUUAGCUAAGGAAAAAAUGUGCAGUCCCUGCCGACUUGAAACCCUAGGACAAUAAGAGAGAGUUCCCUCUUACCAAGAACAUGUUGGGAACAUCUAAGAUUAGGGGGGGUAGGAGGAACAGCUUUCAGACUUUGGUUGGGAAAAGCGUUCAUGGAAUAGAGGUGUUGGGCCAGGGUUUUAAUUUUUUACCACCAGUCAAGAGCUGUACUCUAAAGGACAAAGGUUGUACACUUUAUAGGCUCUCGGGACUCAGAUGGAAGUGGAGGGAAGUGCGGGAAGGAGCCAUUAUCUUGAUGACAGCAGGGACAUAAUCUUCCCUUAGAUCCAGGGAGGAGGGAAGCAGGGAGCUCAAGAUUUGUUUUUAGGGGCACUUGGGUGGCUCAGUCAGUUAAGCAGUUAAAUGUCCGACUCAGGUCAUGAUUUCACAGUUUGGUUAGUGAGUUCGAGCCCUGCGUUGAGCCCUGCGUUGGGCUCAACGAUGACAACACAGAGCCUACUUGGGAUUCUCUCUCUCUGCUCCUCCCCCAUUUAUGCUCUCUCUCUCUCCCUCUCUGUCAAAAUAAAUAAACAUAAAAGAGCGUUGUCAGGAAGGUGACAGGAUGCGAUGGUGCACAUUUAUUUAUUAUGAUAUUUAUUGUUGUUGGAUUCCUCCCCUCCCCGCCCCCCCACCGAAGAUCAAUCAUCAGCCUGGAGCUGGAUGGCGAGUGAUAGGUUAAAACUGGAAAUGAAAUUUUAAAAAUUUUCUUUAAUGAUUAUUUUUGAAAGAGGGAGAGAGAGGGAGGGAGAGUGUGUGCCCGAGCCCGCGAGCCCAAGUGGGGAAGGGGAAGAGAGAGAGGGAAAGAGAGGAUCCGAAAAUGGCUCCGAGCUGUCUUCGCAAAGCCAACGAUGUGGGGCUCCAGCCCACGAACCGUGAGAUCAUGACCUGAACCCAAGUCAGACACUCAACCAGCUGAGCCACCCAGGUGCCCCUAAAACUGAAAAUGAAAUUUAACUGUGACCCUGUGAAUGAAUAACCUCAAGCUGUCAGCUGUUGAGUCGGUGCAGAGAGGGGCUAAUCACGCCAUCAAACACUUAAAUAGCAAAUCACUACGUGCCAGACGCUGUUCUGAACUCUUCCCGUGUUUUUGCUGGUUGCAAUACUCACAACAAUGCUGUACAGUAGGCUCCGGCUGCUAGGACGUUCUUCUUCACGUCCACGGCCACCCUGGCUGUCUCGGCAUCGCAGAGCUUGUCGAAGGACUGCGUUGUUUGGCCUCUAACCUCUGCUUCUCUUCCCAGCACCAACUACCAUAGGCUCGGGCUCCUAAUUUGCAGGACCCAGUGCAAGAUGAAAAUGCAGAGUUCCUCGUUCAGAGCUUAUUAAGAAUUUCAAAGAGCGGUAGCAGAACGUUAAAACCAAGCACAGGGUCCUCUAAACACGGGCCCCUGUGUGACUGCAUGGGUCACACGCCCAUAGAACUGGCCCUGCAUAGACCUGUACGAAUCCUUGUGCGGAACACCGGGGCUGGCGUCUCUUCUGCCCUGGUGUGUGUCCAACUCCUGAACAAGAAAAGGGAAAAGGGAAAAACACAUCCUACCCCCAAGUGCCUUGAAUGUCUGUGUCUGGCUUUGUUGAAGAAGGUUUUCUAUAGCGAAAUGACAGUUUGGUUUUCACCCUUGAUUUAGAGGAUUUUUAAAGACCUCUCUCAAUGCUGUACGAGUUGAUUUGUCUUUCUAUCCAUUCCUCUCCUCACAUCCCACAUCUAACAGGUUGGCAGUUUUUGCUGAUUCUAUCUCAGCGAGGCGUCCUGUAUCCUGCCCUCUUUUCCAUCUCCCCGGCUACUGGCCUAGUUUUUGCUUACCUAGAAUAUUCUAGUAACCGCUAACUAGAUCUAUUUCCUUCAACCCCCAUUGUUUCCAACCCUGUGCUUGUUACACUCGGUCUUUAUUAGUUACAUGUUAGGACUUUCUCUCCCCUGGACUGUACAUUUCUCCAGGGUGGGUACUCAAUUCCCAGACACCUGUACCUUCCUCAGGAGCCCUGAGAAGAGUGUUCCACCUACUGGGUGUUUCUCUCCUGCCUCCUUUGUUUGCACAUCUCUGGAUCUCUAUCAGGCCCCAUGGUCUGGAAUACAGCUCUGCCUCUCGAAUCCUCAGUCAAGAGAGCACUGCUGUUUUGCCUAAAUUCCAGAGGAAAGCAUGACAUCCAAAGCCCUAUCUUCUAUGACAAUAAAAAUGUGGCCAAUUAGAACUGUUAGAAAGAUCUGCCCCCCAGGAUGCCUGGGUGACCCAGUCAGUUAAGCGUCUGACUUGAUUUUCGCUCAGGCGAUGAUCUUGCAGUUCAUGGGAUCAAGCCCCACUUUGGGCUCUGCGUUGACAGCUCUGAGCCUGGAGCCUGCUUUGGAUUCUGUGUCUCCCUCUCUCUCUGUGUUACCAUCCUCCUGCUUUGCUGUCCUUGGCUGACUGUACCUGCCCACCAGCUCAGCUCACCCCUUUACUCUUGCAAGGAUGCUGCAGCAGCUCUAAGGUUCACACCCCCAAGUGACAGCCUUCAGCAGAGCAACGAAAGAGGCAGGGGUAAAACAUAUACAAAUAUUACAAGCAUACAAAUAAAUUUUAAAGGUUCCCCCCCCCCCGCUUCCUGUGACUAUGUUACUCAUCAAGGGAAAACAUACUUCCCAGAGAACCUCAGCAGGUUUCCGGUUAUAUCUUAUUGGCCUGAAAUCGGUCACAUGUCUAUCUUAAACCAAUCACUGGACAAAAGGAACUGGAAUUCUCAGGGUAGGAAGAAGCCUACCACCCAGGAAGAGAGGGCUGGUUUCUGCACGGGUAACUGACAGCAAGUGCCCCGACUCCCACUCUGCGGACUCCUCCCCCGAUCCUGUACCAUGUGGAGGCACCCCCAGCCCUCAGCCCUGCCUCUGCCUACACUUGCCCCAUUUCUCCCCUUCCCUUUCCCAGCAGACUCACUGCAGGAGCCAUGCAGCUGCGUUGCCUGUGUCCAGUUCAUCUCGUGUCUCCUCAGCUCCACCGCAGUCAGGCUGUUGUCUCUGCCACCUUCCUCCUCCUUCUCACCCGAGUUCACUUCCUCAGUUUGAUCUCUUUGCUGGCUUUGAACGCGUGGAGCCAUCCCUUCUUCCUCAGCCUCCCUCUACCUUGAUUCUCAGGACAUCACGCUGAAUUCGACUUCUACCUCCCUGUCCACUGCUCAGUUGCCUUCAAUGGCUCCUCACUCCUACCUGUCCCUAAGGUGUUUGUGCUGUCUUGGGCUCCUUCUUUGACCGUUUUCCAAUCAUUCCCUGCUACUUCUCAGGUUUCAACUAUUAGCUAACUCUGUACCCAGGACCCCCAAAUCUACAGAUCCAGCCCAAAUAUUUUCUUGAAUCCAUACCCAUUGUGGACUUCCAUUACUAGGCGUUCCCAGACACCUUAAAUCAUCAGCUACAAAAUGGAUUUCAUCGUCUGCACACGUGCACACAUACGUGCACACACGCACAGCUUCAUUCUGCUGCUCAGAGAAGGGAUCACGAUCUGUUGGGUUGUCAAAGGCUGAGUCUGAUAGUCCUCACUCCUCUUAUCCCUGACACUCAAUGACCAUUUCCUGCUCGUCCCCCCUCCUCUCUACCAGUUUUCUUCCUCUCUGCUACUAUGCCACUUCCCUGCCUCAGGCACUCGCCAUCUUUUAUCUGGAUGAUGGCACCAGCUUCCUAACUGGCUUCUGGUUUUCUCUUUCCAGUCCAUUCUCUCAGCGUUGCCCCAAUAAUUUUUAACAAUAUAAAUCUGGGGGUGCCUGGGUGGCUCAGUCGGUUGAGCAUCUGAUUUCAGCUGAGGUCGUGAUCUCAUGAUUCGUGAUUCAUGAGAUCGAGCUCUGCAUGGGGCUCUCUGCCAGCGUGGAGCCCCCUGUCCCCUCUCUCUCUGCCCCUCCCCGCUCAUGCUCUCUCUCUCUCUCUCUCUCAAAAAUAAAUACACAUUACAAAAAAGUAAAAAAUAAAAAUAUAAAUAUGAAUAUGUUAUUCUAGAGCUUCAAAAAUCUUUCAAUAGAUCCCCAGAGCCUAGAGAAAUGGACUACGUUCCCUAGUACAGCCUUGGGCCCAAAGUCACCAGUGCUGUUUUUAGAACUUUAGUCUGCAAGUUUUGUGUAAAUUCAGCUGAAGAGAGGACACACAGUGACAGAAAUCAGUGAAGAGACUAUUCUCAAAUAAUGUUUUGAAAUCUCUAUUAUCAGAUUUACAGAUUUUGUAAGCCCAUGCUGCUCCCAGAAUCCUUGAAUAAACACAAUGCCCAAUGAGUAUUGAUUUAAAAUUGAAGUGUAUUACUUUCCUUUGGGUUUGAAGUGUUCCAACUACUUACCAGAAAAGAUAGAGUCCUGCAGCCCACUGAUUUUAGCCAGAUCACUUGAUUUCUACAAAUUACUUACUCUGUGGCCUCAUAUUAGUAUCUGGAAGUGAGAAUAAAGGUACAAAGUAAUUGGGAUGAAGGGGUGGAUGAAGGAAACAUCUUUGAGAAUGAAUGAUAGGACCUGGUUACUACUAAAACCUGGGUGCUGGAGUGCCUGGGUGGCUCAGUCAGUUAAGUGUCUGACUCUUGAUGUUGGCUCAGGUCAUGAUCUCAAGGUCGUGAGAUUGAGCCCCACAUUGGGCUCCACGCUCGGUGUGGAGACUGCCUAAGAUUCUUUCUCUCUCCUUCUCUCCCUCCCCCUCCCCCCAUUCUCUCUCUCUCUCUUUCAGAAAAAAAAAAUCAAUAAAGAAAAACAAACGAGGAGCUCCUGGUGGCUCAGUCGGUUAAGCAUCCGACUCUGGAUUUUGGGUCAGGUUCAUGAGUUCGAGCCCCACAUCAGCAGGCUGACAGCACAGACCCUGCUUGGGAUUCUCUCUUAUACUCUCUCACUGCCCCUCCCCCAUUCUCUCUCUCUCUCUCUCUCAAAAUAAAUAAAUAAACUUAAAAAAAUAAAAUAAAUAAAAUAAUAAAAUAAAAUAAAUAAAAUAAAAAUAAAAUAAAUAAAAAAUAAAUAAAUAAAAUAAAAAAUAAAAUAAAAUAAAAUAAUAAAAAAUAAAAUAAAAUAAAAUAAAUAAAAUAAUAAAAUAAAAUAAAAUAAAUAAAAUAAAAUAAAUACUGGGUAUCCAUAGUAAGUUCUGUCCUCUGUCUCAGGGGAAUGUAACCAAGUUCUUGGAUUUGAAAACAGUUAAAAACAGGGUAAUUUAGUGUAGGGUAUGAGAGGAGUUGCCUAUAUGGGUGAUUGUAUGGGGAGGGAGGGGAGGAGAGAAAGAGAACACAUAACAUUAAUAAAUCACAACCACAUCCAAUAAAAUAGAAAUUGGGAGGCUCAAUUUCAGAUAAAGACAAACAAUACUCCCCUUUCACAUUUUCUUACUAAUAGAACCCUAGCUUUAAAAGGCAAAGGUAAUGGGGAAGCUUCUGUUUCUUAGGAUCUGACACAAAAGGAGCCAAUAAGAAAUGGAAAUGGAGUCAAAGAAGAGGAAGUCGUUUCCCGAGAUGCAUCUGUGAGAGUGUCUGGCAGGUGGAAGGGAGGGAACGAGCAUCAUUGAACUUCUACUACUCUCUGUCUCUGCUACAGCACCUCAUAUGCACUGCCUCGCUCAAGCCUCGUACCAUGAGUUAAGAAUGACUAUUUCCAUUCGUGGUGUAACAGAGGAAAACCUAGCCACAGACUUAGCAAGAGACAAAGGGACAAAGAUCUUUCUGACCUCAAAGGACAUGCAUUGUCAUCCCCCUACGACCAUGAGUAGCCAGCUAGGACGUCUCCUUUCUCAGGAUAGUGUCUAUCUUUCCAGAUUCAUCCAUUCAUUAAACAAGUCUUAACUGAGGCAUGGAGGUAGGCUAUGGGGUAGUUGUGGUUCUGCUUUGUGGAAGGGCCAUGCAGAGGAUCCCUAGAGGUCCCUUCUCGCUACAAAACUCAACAACUGUGGUGCAGCCCUCUUCUCUGCUGUUAUCAGUACCUGAGUCAUUCCUACCAGGAAAGGGCCAGAACACAGUGACCACUACAGGUCUGAUCAGGUUAGGGACAGCAGCAGAAGAGAAAGCCACUAGGAGGUCUGAGGGUCCAACUGGACCCCAGCAGGUUCUCAUAGGUACUUGUGUUAAAUUCAGGCCCCAGUACAGAGUUUUAGUUUGAGAUGAUGAAAAAGUUCUGAAGCUUGCGGAGUGGUGAUGGUUGCACAACAGUGUGAAAGUACUUUAAUGUUCCGUGAACUAGAGAUGUUUGUACAUUUUGUAUCGUAUACAUCUUACCACGGUAAAAAAAAAAAAAAGUUUUGUAUCCUACACUUUGUAUCCUAUACAUCUUACCACAAUAAAAAAA